GGCCGAUUGUUGACCUCGAUGGCUUGACAGCGUCCUUUGUGAUUCUGAACAUAUGUGCUACUCUCCUGGACACCGCCGACUCAGGUCCUACUCUCCUGGACGCCGCCGACUCAGGUUAUAUCUACAUGUAGCGUUGGAGAAUACUACGUGGACAACGGUGGCACUAAGGCCUGCAGUAGCGAGUGGAGAGCGCCCAGGCCGAGCUCCCCAAUGUUCAUGUCGUACAGGAGCUAAUCCAUGCUGAGUGGGCCAUAUCGGUCUUUGUCUGCACGCAU